CCUCCCGAGAUGCCAGAGGGACCUGCGUCCGCACUGCCCCAGUGUGACCCGCAUACCUACCGGCCCCGACCCCGAACCACAUGGCGCCCGCCCGAGCCCUGGCGCUGCUGGGUCUCCUGCUGCUGCCGCUGCUCGCGGAGCCCAGUAAACUCUGCCCACAGCUUAUGACGGUCAUUAACCAGUUUCUGACCAAAGACAAGGACACCUACAUGGACACCUACAUGGACCAAAGAAAAGGACACCUACAGAUACCACCCCAUGGAGCUGGAAAGAAACACAGCCUCUAAACUGAAGGACUGCGUGACGGACACCAUGACUCCCGAGGAGGCACAGGCCGUCAUGCAGCAACUGGAAGAAAUCAACAACCAGUGUGCCCACACCAUACUGAAGUAACACCAUCCACGGGCACCUCAGGUUCCUGUCCGGGCUGCCUGUCCCACCCAUGAGAAUCUGGGCCCAGGGCCCCGCCCUCCCCAGCUCCACCCUGCCGCUGCCUCUGCUCCCUCUCCGGCUGUGCUGAUUGGGGCAAGCCUGGGAACCGCCGCCCCCUCCCCACCCAGGCCUGUCCCCUGCGGAACAAGGCUGCCUAAUAAACUCGCCUGCAUCCA